UGCAGGUCGACCGGCAGCACAGAAAAAAGCUUGCCCUUAUGGGGGGCGAGGGGCGCACCUUUAAAGAAUACCUCGCAGUCUACCUUUGAGGGGGGGAUAACACAGGGAAACUUACGCUAUUACCGCAUACGACCUUCGGGUGAAAGCAGGGGACCUUCGGGCCUUGCGCGAAUAUAUGAGCCAAUGUCGGAUUAGCUAGGUGGGGGGUAAAGGCCCUCCAAGGCGACAAUCCGUGCUGGGCUGAGAAGAUGAUCAGCCACUCUGGAACCGAAACACGCUCCACACUCCCACGGGAGGGAGCAGUGGGGAAAAUUGACAAAGGGCGCAACCCCGAUCCCGCCCUUCCGCGUGGGGGAAGAAGGUCCUUCGGCUUUUAAACCUUUUUGGUGGGAGAAAAAACUAUCAAUUAAAACCGGUUGUUCUCACG
rnacentral:rRNA from 1 species